GGGGAAGUAGCUCAAUGGUAGAGCACAUAAUCAUAUCAAUUGUUGGUACAAUUUCGGUACAAUUUCGAUACAAUUGUUUCAUGCAGAAACAAAGUUCGAGGUUCGAAUCCUCGCUUCUCCA
rnacentral:tRNA from 1 species